ACGCACAUUUAUUGUUAAUUUUUACACUAGUUCUUUUGUUUAAAUCUUUUUAUUGUUGUUUUCACCUAGAGUGCUGUAACCAUUUCACUCUUGUUUCUAUAAGGCUGUUUAUUGGAUAUAGAAGCUACGCUACAUCGGGUAUAUAACAAUGAUAAUAACGGAGUAACUCUAACUAUGUUCAUCAUUUGGCUACAUGUCGGUGUUUGUUUCUUCUGUUGGGUGCUAUAAUUAAUUUUCAUCUGUAAUCUGAGGAUAAAAUCGUAACAAUUUAAUAUUAAAAUGCGCUUACAUUCCAUAUUCCGUUACUCUCUGUAGUUCCAUGUUUUGUGCAUGUUCUGUCAUAUUCAUUUAGUAACACCAAAUCACUAGUGCUG